rnacentral:ncRNA from 2 species
UUUUUCGCAUAGCGGGAGCGGAUGAACGCCGCUGAGAGGAUGUGCAGACACAUCGACCGAUGACCUGAUUUGGAUUAUGCCAACGUAGGGAAUGCAUGAUGAACUUGG